GCCUAAUACAUGCAAGUCGAACGAACUCUUCGGAGUUAGUGGCGCACGGGUGCGUAACGCGUGGGAAUCUGCCCUUGGGUACGGAAUAACUCAGAGAAAUUUGUGCUAAUACCGUAUAAUGUCUUCGGACCAAAGAUUUAUCGCCCAAGGAUGAGCCCGCGUAAGAUUAGCUAGUUGGUGGGGUAAAAGCCUACCAAGGCGACGAUCUUUAGCUGGUCUGAGAGGAUGAUCAGCCACACUGGGACUGAGACACGGCCCAGACUCCUACGGGAGGCAGCAGUGGGGAAUAUUGGACAAUGGGCGAAAGCCUGAUCCAGCAAUGCCGCGUGAGUGAUGAAGGCCUUAGGGUUGUAAAGCUCUUUUACCCGGGAUGAUAAUGACAGUACCGGGAGAAUAAGCUCCGGCUAACUCCGUGCCAGCAGCCGCGGUAAUACGGAGGGAGCUAGCGUUGUUCGGAAUUACUGGGCGUAAAGCGCGCGUAGGCGGUUUUUUAAGUCAGAGGUGAAAGCCCAGUGCUCAACACUGGAACUGCCUUUGAAACUGGAAAACUUGAAUCUUGGAGAGGUCAGUGGAAUUCCGAGUGUAGAGGUGAAAUUCGUAGAUAUUCGGAAGAACACCAGUGGCGAAGGCGACUGACUGG
rnacentral:rRNA from 1 species